CCCUUAGAUGUUCUGGGCCGCACGCGCGCUACACUGACGAUGGCAACGAGUUUUUCCUUCGCCGAAAGGUGUGGGUAAUUUUUUGAAACAUCGUCGUGCUGGGGAUAGAUCAUUGCAAUUUUUGAUCUUGAACGAGGAAUUCCUAGUAAGCGCGAGUCAUCAGCUCGCGUUGAUUACGUCCCUGCCCUUUGUACACACCGCCCGUCGCUACUACCGAUUGAAUGGUUUAGUGAGGACUCCUGAUUGGCGCCGCCGCCCCGGCAACGGAGCAGCGGACUGCCGAAAAGUUGUUCAAACUUGAUCAUUUAGAGGAAGUAAAAGUCGUAACA
rnacentral:rRNA from 1 species